CCUCAGGCAGAUAGAGAUGUCCGCUCUGACUGUGUUUCUGAAGGAGGUUCCUGGAUGGUUCCUUUGGGCUGGCAUUUUCAUACCUGUGACCAUACUGCUACUGCUCAUCAUCGCGCACCUCAGCUGGAAACUCCAAGAAAGUAAAUUCUUCAUCCAAUAAAUCAUCUACUAUACAUACCUGUGAUACUAGUUUUACUUGUAACAAGUGUGGGCGGAGAAAGAGCUUGCAAUGGCACCAGACCCUCAUCAAACAGUGUAUCGCCUCUGUUAUGGACCGUGCUACAGACCCAGACGCAGGGCAGAGGGCACACACACAUGACAGACACAAAGCACCUGUGCUGAGAGACAACAAUAAAGGAAGCAGAACACUUGAGCAACAAAAUUGUGCUAGAAAUCACAUCACUUGGAGCUCUGAAACAAGGAUCAGACAAAUGUGUGUGUGUGUGUUUUUUUUUUUUUUUUUAAAGCACGUAUUUUAAUGGUCCACACACAGUAGUGCCAGAACUUGUAACUGAGCAGUAGUGGACGUGGACAUUGAUUUCACAUUCUUUUUUAUGCAAAAGCUGCUUAAACUCUUCAAUGCAAAACUCAAAGUGUCCAUGAAUUUGCUCAACGAGUACAAUUUUGUAAUCUGUUUGGAUGUAUUUCCUGUUGAAACAGGAAGUUUGGGCAAUACAUAUCGAAGGGGUUGUCCCCAUUUUAUAAUUUGGCAAUAGGCUAAAAUUAUUUGCUACUUGCUAUUCCUUUGCAUGUAUUAGGGGGAGAGACAUUCUCAUUCUAUAGAGCAUUUGAUAGGACAUACAUUUUAAGAGAAAUAUGAAGAUAAAGACUGUCAAUGCUAAAUGCUUAUAUACAUUUUGUCAACUUUUAAGAGUACAUUGGCAUUUAGGAGGGUUCAAAGCUUGACAUGGACCAAAAGCCUCAAAACUCUCAUUUUGCUUUUUUGGGGGGUUUUAAGGUCUAGGUUUAUUUGUUAGGUUUAUAAAUAUUAAUUGAAUUUAUUAAACUGAAGUGCUGGUACCUACAGUAGGUAUAUGAUCUCGUUUUUGUAGAGAUAGGCUCAAAAUAUAUUUUCGCUUAUUUUUAGGAUUUACGCAUUUAAAUUUCUUAUACAUUUCCAUUAAAUUGAAUUGAGUAAUCUUUAAAAAAAAAAAAAAAAGCUUAUGUUUUUUUUUUAUUAUUAUUAAUAAUUUUAAGAUUAAUUAAUUUAGUUUGAUAAUUUGACAUGAAAUUAAAAUGUAUAAAUCUUAAAAAUAUUUCUCACUUUUGAUUAGUGACCAUCAACACAGAGUUAUCUGUGCUAUUCUUUAUUUUUGGAUUAGAUUAUUUUCUUAUCCAUACAUAUUUAUAACAAAUAUAUAUAUAUAUAUAUAUAUAUAUAUAUAUAUUACAUUUCAUUUUAACUUAAAUACUACGUUUUAUUAAUAUUGUUUCUUGCUGUUUUACUAUUGAUUAGGGUUAGGGUAAAUAGUCUUAUAUGAAGAAUAAUGUUUACGGUUCAUUACAUUAUGCAAGGUAUAAAUUCUCUUAACUGCUAGAGAAAAUAACUGAAUUGUCUCCACAAACUAGAGAUAAGGAUUGUCAAGGUCUUAAGCCAUUUUGUUUCUGGUCAGAUGAAGCCCCUAUAUCUGUCUCUUGGCUGGCAAGAGUUAACCCUCCUAUGCUAUUUGGUCAUUUUUGACCCAAAUACAUGUUCCCCAUUUCAUAAAAAUGCAGCACGAGACUUGGUGACUUUUCCUCCAUUUGCCAUAUGAACAUUAAAAAAAUAAAAUAAAAAUUGGGCUGGA